GCCAGUGUGGCAUAGUGGUUUGAGUGCUGGAUUAGGACUCUGGAGACCAGGGUUUGAAUCCAGGCUCAGUCA